rnacentral:rRNA from 1 species
GGCUUAGCUUCGUAGGUGACCUGCGGAAGGAUCAUUACCGAGUGAGGGCCCUCUGGGUCCAACCUCCCACCCGUGUCUAUCGUACCUUGUUGCUUCGGCGGGCCCGCCGUUUCGACGGCCGCCGGGGAGGCCUUGCGCCCCCGGGCCCGCGCCCGCCGAAGACCCCAACAUGAACGCUGUUCUGAAAGUAUGCAGUCUGAGUUGAUUAUCGUAAUCAGUUAAAACUUUCAACAACGGAUCUCUUGGUUCCGGCAUCGAUGAAGAACGCAGCGAAAUGCGAUAAGUAAUGUGAAUUGCAGAAUUCAGUGAAUCAUCGAGUCUUUGAACGCACAUUGCGCCCCCUGGUAUUCCGGGGGGCAUGCCUGUCCGAGCGUCAUUGCUGCCCUCAAGCACGGCUUGUGUGUUGGGCCCCCGUCCCCCUCUCCCGGGGGACGGGCCCGAAAGGCAGCGGCGGCACCGCGUCCGGUCCUCGAGCGUAUGGGGCUUUGUCACCUGCUCUGUAGGCCCGGCCGGCGCCAGCCGACACCCAACUUUAUUUUUCUAAGGUUGACCCUCGGAUCAGGUAGGGAUACCCGCUGAACUUAAGCAUAUCAAAAGGGGGAAAGAAAA